rnacentral:rRNA from 1 species
UGGCGGACGGGUGAGUAAUGCUUGGGAAUCUGGCUUAUGGAGGGGGAUAACGACGGGAAACUGUCGCUAAUACCGCGUAGAGUCGGGAGACGAAAGUGCGGGACCGCAAGGCCGCAUGCCAUGAGAUGAGCCCAAGUGGGAUUAGGUAGUUGGUGGGGUAAAGGCCUACCAAGCCGACGAUCUCUAGCUGGUCUGAGAGAAUGACCAGCCACACCGGGACUGAGACACGGCCCGG